CACGUAGUUAGCCGUGGCUUUCUUGAAUGGUACAGUCAAUCUCUAAUCAUUUCCUAUUAGAGCCGUUCUUCCCAAACAACAGAACUUUACAAUCCAGAGGACCGUCAUCGUUCACGCGGCAUUGCUCGUUCAGGGUUUCCCCCAUUGACGAAUAUUCCUAACUGCUGUCUCCCGUAGGAGUCUGGGGCCGUGUCUCAGUCCCAGUGUGGCCGAUCAACCUCUCAGUUCAGCUAUGCAUCGUUGACUUGGUAGGCUCUUACCCACAACUAUCUAAUGCACCGCAGGCCCAUCUCUUAGCGAAGCUUUAAAGGCUUACCUUUAAUCCGUAGAUCACUAUUACGGUAUUAACAAUCGUUCCAAUUGGUAUCCCCAUACUAAGAGGGUAGUAACCACGUUGUUACUCACCCGUUUGCCACUAGGUGAAAUUCCACGUUCCUUCUCUUUCCACUUUCU
rnacentral:rRNA from 1 species